AACGGACCCCCUCCUCUCUCACUGACAGGGCUGUUUGAAGAUCAGAUGGAUCCCUGAGAGCAGUCUUAGUUAUUGUAAUCGCUUCCUGCUGGGCUUCCACUUCCUGGCCAAGCCAUUAAAGCUAAUAUGAUAGGUCAAUUAAGGGUAACAUGUGAUUGGCUGACCUCUGCUAGCAGCCAGAGUUCAAGGACAACAUUUUAUUCCAGUGUAAGCACUGUCCCCUUCUCGCACCAAUAUGACCUCCCGCCAAAGCCAGCAUGUACAAGCCUCAUCUUCCCAAACGAAGAGCUGUUCAUGCCUCCAGGAGCAGAGCUUUUUACCUGUACCAGAAAAUGCUCUCAGAAGGGAAGUCAGAGCUGAGCAGGUAGGGCUGAGGAUCCAGCCCAGGAAGCCAAGGUGAGUGAAAUGGAAUGAAAAAAUCAGGAAAAGAUGGCACAGGUUGGAAAGAGGAGCUCAGGGAAGGUCAGGAAAGUGGCUCAGACUGGGCACUGAGCAAAGUCUUCCAGACCGUUAAGAAGAUGCAUGUCUGCGGCUCUGCAGCUCAGGGCUGGACCUGAUGGUUCCUCAGUCUGGCCAGUCUAGAUGCUGUAAGCCAGACUGUCAGCACAGAUCUGAAGAGUACCAGGUUGAAAGAAUGCUUCCUUUCUCUGGAAAGCCACAUGGGCGGGCUAAGAAGCAAAGUAGGCUGUGGGGGAACGUUAAGCAGGAAAGUGCAUGAGAAAUGUCACAUUUCGGGACACAGGCAUCCAGUGACAUCAUGCAUGAAGCAGGAAAAGGAAGGAGGAGUGAGCCUAGGAGCCCUAGGAAGGGUACCCAUGCACCUGCCUCCGGAAGACUCAGCCAAGGCCCUGCUGGGAUGGGGAAGACGGGAAGGGCAAUGGACCAGAGGGACCUGGGUGUGGCCACAGCGGGGUGGACACUCAACCUGCGGCUGGGGCCAUGCACGGUUAUCCCUGUGUCUCAGCCAAAGAUCUCUCCCUGCCUAGGAGAGGCGGGGGGGGAGUGUUGGGGUGUCCAGGAGAGGCGGGGGGGUGGAGUGUUGGGGUGUCCAGUACCAGGACACCACAGUUGCUUCUUUCUCUCCCACGUCCUCACACUGGCCGCAGCUGCAUAAACGUGGCAUUAACAUUGGAAGCCAUGCAUGGCCAGUGAUUUCCGCGUGUGUAUCUGGGUCAUGAUUGCAGUUGAAGAGGCUCCCUUAAGCAGCAGUGCUCAUUGUUGGAAGAUUGCGCAUUUGGGAAACAACUCAGAAACCUCACUCUGAGAUGGGCAUAUGAGCAGGCCUCAUAGACAGACGGCCUCAGCUGCCUCCAAUACCCAGGUGGUUCUGGGACCCAGAAAGAUAAAAGGCCUCAGUCUCUUUCCCUCAGUGUGGCUCGAGCUCCACCAAGAAAAAGAAAUUGCUUUUUGGAUCAUUCCACACCAGCAAAUUAAAAGAGGUCUCCAGGAAGCAAGAGGCCCCCAGAGGCAAGGACAGCAGCCUACUGUCUUCUAUGCCUACUUUCCGCCAGGCUCUCUCUGUCCCUGCUGCAGUCCCUGCAGCUCCGGAAGGCAGAAUGGACAAGACUGGCACUUGGUGACACUGUCUGAUCAGCAACUUAAGCAAAACUUAAUUGCUUCCCUGAACCUGAGAAAUAUCAAACGGCAUAAACAAACGAGCUUUAAAUUAUUA